GGGAAAGGAGAGUCUGGCUGGGAAGAGAAUAUCUAUUAUCUGGCCCCAAAGAGACCUAGCCUGGGCUGCGGAUCGCUGCUGCAGGGCCCUUCCCCUCACCUGCCAGGAUGCUUCAUACCAAAAACAUCCCAGAAAGCAGGCUCAGAGAGGUGACGUGGGGCCCACGGGGAGAAGGCUGGAGCCUAGGAAUAUUUAGUGCCACAACAGUGCUUCUGGAAUGUGAAUAACCCAGACAACAACUGCAACUGCAGGGGACAACUUUGGGAGACAGGAAAGGGCCUUCUGAGACCAAGACAAGAAACCUCUUGGUCAGAUCCUCUCUCUGUCCUCAGCCCUUUCCCAGGCAAGUCCAUCCAGACUGUCCCCGAGUGGACCCCCUCCCUGGGUAGUGCAGAGGUCCUCCAUGUGCAAGGAGGGACACCCCCAGGGCAUUCUGGCCUGUCCCCACCAUCAGGACAACCCUUUCACUUCUCCCUUGGCCCCAAUCCAGCCAGGCUGCCUUGGGCCCUCCUGGUGGGCUCAAGUAAAGGGAAAUGGGGGUUCAGAAGUGUGGGAGGAGCAGUGCCCUGCAAGGCACAGAGCCCACACCCUCUGGAGCUCCUCAGUCAGCUCUGCGAGUCAGGAUCUGCAGAGCGACUGACAGCCAGAGCAUGUCCUGAUGAGCAGGAUGCACCCAGGACGAAGGGAGUCAGCGGAAGCCGCCUCCUUUUCAUCCCAUGGCCACCAAGCAGAGAGGAGCACCCUGGGAUCUCUGCCAUCUUCAGCCCCCCGGGGAGGCGGAGGGAGACCGGGAGCCCUGUGGAGCCAGCUCAGCCCUCUCGUCGCCUCUAGACCUCAGCCCUGCCAGGCCUCCUCUCCACCACACUGGGAGCCUGCCUUCGGGUUAGAUCAGUGCAGAGACGCCUUCUUGGAUCUUCGCAGAGACUCACUAGCCACAUCAGCCUCUCCAUCCGAAGUUCUCCAUUUAUGUGGAGAUGAGGACACUGCAGACCAGAGAGGUUACAUGACCUGCUCAGUGUUACACAGCACAUUUGAGCAUUAGCCCCCAAGUCCCCA
rnacentral:lncRNA from 1 species